rnacentral:rRNA from 1 species
UACAGAGGUCUCAAGCGUUGUUCGGAUUCAUUGGGCGUAAAGGGUGUGUAGGUGGCGCCGUAAGUCGGGUGUGAAAUUUCGGAGCUUAACUCCGAAACUGCAUUCGAUACUGCGGUGCUUGAGGACUGGAGAGGAGACUGGAAUUCAUGGUGUAGCAGUGAAAUGCGUAGAGAUCGGGAAGAACAUCAGUGGCGAAGGCGGUCUGCUGGGCCGUUGCUGACGCUGAGGCGCGACAGCGUGGGGAGCAAACAGG